GAUGAACGCUGGCGGCGUGCCUAAUACAUGCAAGUCGAGCGAACGGACGAGAAGCUUGCUUCUCUGAUGUUAGCGGCGGACGGGUGAGUAACACGUGGAUAACCUACCUAUAAGACUGGGAUAACUUCGGGAAACCGGAGCUAAUACCGGAUAAUAUUUUGAACCGCAUGGUUCAAAAGUGAAAGACGGUCUUGCUGUCACUUAUAGAUGGAUCCGCGCUGCAUUAGCUAGUUGGUAAGGUAACGGCUUACCAAGGCAACGAUGCAUAGCCAACCUGAGAGGGUGAUCGGCCACACUGGAACUGAGACACGGUCCAGACUCCUACGGGGGGCAGCAGUAGGGAAUCUUACGCAAUGGGCGAAAGCCUGACGGAGCAACGCCGCGUGAGUGAUGAAGAUCUUCGGAUCGUAAAACUCUGUUAUUAGGGAAGAACAGAUGUGUAAGUAAAUGUGCACAUCUUGACGGUACCUAAUAAGAAAGCAACGGCUAACUACGUG
rnacentral:rRNA from 1 species